rnacentral:rRNA from 1 species
UACGGAGGGUGCAAGCGUUGUCCGGAUUUAUUGGGUUUAAAGGGUGCGUAGGUGGCGGGCUAAGUCCGGGGUGAAAGCCCACAGCUCAACUGUGGAACUGCCCUGGAUACUGGCUGGCUUGAGUCCAGACGAGGGUGGCGGAAUGGACGCUGUAGCGGUGAAAUGCAUAGAUAGCGUCCAGAACCCCGAUUGCGUAGGCAGCUGCCUAGACUGGUACUGACACUGAGGCACGAAAGCGUGGGGAGCGAACAGG